UACAGAGGUCUCAACCGUUGUUCGGAUUCAUUGGGCGUAAAGGGUGCGUAGGCGGUCGCGCAAGUCGGAUGUGAAAUCUCAGGGCUCAACCCUGAAACUGCAUUCGAUACUGCGUGGCUAGAGUGCUGGAGAGGAGACUGGAAUUUACGGUGUAGCAGUGAAAUGCGUAGAUAUCGUAAGGGAAGACCAGUGGCGAAAGGCGAGUCUCUGGGACAGCAAACU
rnacentral:rRNA from 1 species